AGCUUUGUACAAUGGCAGUAUCAUAGCCAAUGAGGUUUAUCUGAGGCAUGAUUAUUGCUAAUUGAAAACUUUAUUUCUUGCG
ensembl:snRNA RNU4-87P RNA, U4 small nuclear 87, pseudogene